rnacentral:sRNA from 1 species
CUUUUUUCCUUUCUUUCUUCUUAGCGUCGUGCCUUGCAAAACCCUGACAAAGACACUUGUAUUCCCAAGGCAGCCUUGAAGGAGCAGUUGAGAGGCAUUAACCUCUUUCUGUCCCUAAUAAUGACAGCAGUGCAUGGAUGUUCAGGUCUGGGACCCAGAGCAGAGCCCAAGGCCUGCUGCCUCUUCUGAACUUGGAGGUGGUGUAGGUAGAGCAGAACAUCUGGCCUCACUCAUCCUUCCCGCCAAGGCGUCCUUGCCUGUAUUUAUAUACACUAAAGCCUCUGCCCGAAUAAAACAUCCAUGUAAAAUCCAAUUUCCUCAGAAUCUCUUUUGGAGCAUGGGCCUGAGAGAUGGAGUAGGUAACCCCGGCGGUUACCGCCUGAACCACUCCUGCUGGCUGCAAAGCUUGGAACCUGUCUCUUCCGGAAUGAAGAGAACACACAGUCCAACAUCCCUGCCAACAUGCUGUACCAUCCGGAAAAGGAGAGUCCAAUGGUAUAGCACAUCAGUGAUUCCCAGCCUCGGUUUCUAUCAGAACUGCUUGAUGAGGCUCCUUUAACACAAAUAGAUUUACUCAUAUACCUUAACCGUACGAGCAAAAGCAGGACCUGUACUCGCUCCCACUGGAGGACACGCAAGGCCCUAGCUAAGCCCUACGCGUUCCCUGGUUCCUUCUACAGAGCAGGAGAGUAAGGGAGAGCGAGCAAGCGCUGUCUCUCACAGCCUUGGGGAGAGAGCCGCUCAGGACCUGGGCAGGAGGGAACCAGCUGGUGACUUCUGACCUGCUCCAAACAACUUCUGCUUCUCAGACGUUGAGGGUUCUGGGAUUCAUACAGAAGAGGAAGCAGAAAGAGCUGGAGGUGAUGGGGGAUCGCAAAGAAACAAUGUCUUCCACACACAACAGGACGGAUGCACUCGCAUAGACUGUGAUCACAGGCACAAGACUUAAACAAGUUCAAGCCAGACAGAGUCCCAGCACUGAAAGGAGGAAGUGGACUCGGGCUCCUACUCCUAAAUGAGAAGCUAUCUGCAGCUGAUAUCCCUGGUAAAGGAAAACUCAGCCUGUUUUUUUUUUUAAAUCUAUUUAUGGGCCAGAGAGAUGGCUCAGUGGUUAUAA